rnacentral:rRNA from 1 species
UACGUAGGUGGCAAGCGUUAUCCGGAUUUACUGGGUGUAAAGGGCGUGUAGGCGGGGACGCAAGUCAGAUGUGAAAACCACGGGCUCAACCUGUGGCCUGCAUUUGAAACUGUGUUUCUUGAGUACUGGAGAGGCAGACGGAAUUCCUAGUGUAGCGGUGAAAUGCGUAGAUAUUAGGGGGAACACCAGUGGCGAAGGCGGUCUGCUGGACAGCAACUGACGCUGAGGCGCGAAAGCGUGGGGAGCAAACAGG